GAGCCAAAACUUGCCGAGUCAGGAUGUGAGAGAGGCAGGGAAGGCUCUGCAGCAUCCCUGGGUGCUGCCGCAUCCUGGGGGGGCUGGGGGGGCUCGGCCUCCCUCCUCCACCGGACGCUUUUUGCCAGGAAUGGGGUAGGAACCGGCACCUGCUGGGUUUGCCUCCGGCUGUCGCGGCCGCACCGGCACCGGCGCCGCUUCCCGGAACCUGCAGCUCCACCAGCAGCUGCAGGGGGGUUAUUUCUAUUUUUCUAUAUUUUUUUGGGGUUUUUUUUUGCUUCCUGACCUCCCAUCUCCAUUAAGAGCACCGGAGGCAGGGGUGAGGCGGCGAGCGGCUCCGGGGAGCCCAGGCUGGCUCCAUGUAUCCCGAAUCCACCACUGACUCCCCGGCGCGACUCUCGCUGCGGCAGACGGGCUCCCCAGGGAUGAUUUACAGCGCGAGGUACGGGAGCCCCAAGCGCCAGCUCCAGUUCUACAGGUAACCCAG